AUUGAACGCUGGCGGCAUGCCUUACACAUGCAAGUCGAACGGCAGCACGGGAGCAAUCCUGGUGGCGAGUGGCGAACGGGUGAGUAAUACAUCGGAACGUGCCCAAUCGUGGGGGAUAACGCAGCGAAAGCUGUGCUAAUACCGCAUACGAUCUACGGAUGAAAGCAGGGGAUCGCAAGACCUUGCGCGAAUGGAGCGGCCGAUGGCAGAUUAGGUAGUUGGUGAGGUAAAGGCUCACCAAGCCGUCGAUCUGUAGCUGGUCUGAGAGGACGACCAGCCACACUGGGACUGAGACACGGCCCAGACUCCUACGGGAGGCAGCAGUGGGGAAUUUUGGACAAUGGGCGAAAGCCUGAUCCAGCCAUGCCGCGUGCAGGAUGAAGGCCUUCGGGUUGUAAACUGCUUUUGUACGGAACGAAACGGCCUUUUCUAAUAAAGAGGGCUAAUGACGGUACCGUAAGAAUAAGCACCGGCUAACUACGUGCCAGCAGCCGCGGUAAUACGUAGGGUGCAAGCGUUAAUCGGAAUUACUGGGCGUAAAGCGUGCGCAGGCGGUUAUGUAAGACAGUUGUGAAAUCCCCGGGCUCAACCUGGGAACUGCAUCUGUGACUGCAUAGCUAGAGUACGGUAGAGGGGGAUGGAAUUCCGCGUGUAGCAGUGAAAUGCGUAGAUAUGCGGAGGAACACCGAUGGCGAAGCAAUCCCCUGGACCUGUACUGACGCUCAUGCACGAAAGCGUGGGGAGCAAACGGG
rnacentral:rRNA from 1 species